rnacentral:rRNA from 1 species
GAAACGACUGCUAAGACUGGAUAGGAAGAUAAAAGGCAUCUUUUAUCUUUUAAAAGACCUAGUAAUAGGUAUGCUUUAGGAGGGGCUUGCGCCAUAUUAGUUAGUUGGUAGGGUAAUGGCCUACCAAGACGAUGAUGUGUAGCUGGACUGAGAGGUUGAACAGCCACAUUGGGACUGAGACACGGCCCAAACUCCUACGGGAGGCAGCAGUAGGGAAUUUUCGGCAAUGGAGGAAACUCUGACCGAGCAACGCCGCGUGAAUGACGAAGUACUUCGGUAUGUAAAGUUCUUUUAUCAAGGAAGAAAAGCAAAUGGCGAACCAUUUGUUUGCCGGUACUUGAUGAAUAAGCCCCGGCUAAUUAUGUGCCAGCAGCCGCGGUAAGACAUAAGGGGCAAGUGUUAUCCGGAAUUAUUGGGCGUAAAGGGUGCGUAGGCGGUCUAGUAAGUCAGUGGUGUAAUGGCAACGCUUAACGUUGUCCGGCUAUUGAAACUGCUAAACUUGAGUUAGAUAGAGGCGAGUGGAAUUCCAUGUGUAGCGGUAAAAUGCGUAAAUAUAUGGAGGAACACCGGAGGCGUAGGCGGCUCGCUGGGUCUUAACUGACGCUGAGGCACGAAAGCGUGGGGAGCAAACAGGAUUAGAUACCCUGGUAGUCCACGCCGUAAACGAUGAGUACUAAGUGUCGGGUUAAACCGGUACUGAAGUCAACACAUUAAGUACUCCGCCUGAGUAGUACGUACGCAAGUAUGAAACUUAAAGGAAUUGACGGGACUCCGCACAAGCGGUGGAUCAUGUUGUUUAAUUCGAAGAUACCCGAAAAACCUUACCAGGUCUUGACAUGUUUUUGCAAAAUGAUAGUAAUAUCGUGGAGGUUACCAGAAACACAGGUGGUGCAUGGUUGUCGUCAGCUCGUGUCGUGAGAUGUUAGGUUAAGUCCUAAAACGAGCGAAACCCUUAUCGUUAGUUGCCAGCACGUUAUGGUGGGGACUUUAACGAGACUGCCAAUGAUAAAUUGGAGGAAGGUGAGGAUCACGUCAAAUCAGCAUGCCCCUUAUGACCUGGGCUACAAACGUGAUACAAUGGCUGUUACAAAGGGUAGCUGAAACGCAAGUUCUUGGCCAAUCCCCAAAAACAGUCCCAGUCCGGAUUGAAGUCUGCAACUCGACUUCAUGAAGUUGGAAUCGCUAGUAAUCGCGAAUCAGCAUGUCGCGGUGAAUACGUUCUCGGGUUUGUACACACCGCCCGUCA